rnacentral:sRNA from 1 species
CACGCCUUCGCGUCGCCCCAGCGUUCCUGC